GCCUGGAUGGCUCAGUUGGUUAAGCAUCUGACUUCGGCUCAGGUCAGCAUCUCACGGUUUGUGGGUUUGAGCCCCGUGUCAGGCU
rnacentral:tRNA from 1 species